rnacentral:rRNA from 1 species
UCCAGACUCCUACGGGAGGCAGCAGUGAGGAAUAUUGGUCAAUGGGCUUACGCCUGAACCAGCCAAGUCGCGUGAGGGAAGACUGCCCUAUGGGUUGUAAACCUCUUUUGUCGGGGAGCAAAGCGAGUCACGUGUGACUCAUUGAGAGUACCCGAAGAAAAAGCAUCGGCUAACUCCGUGCCAGCAGCCGCGGUAAUACGGAGGAUGCGAGCGUUAUCCGGAUUUAUUGGGUUUAAAGGGUGCGCAGGCGGCGCGGCAAGCCGGCGGUCAAAUCGCGGGGCUCAACCCCGCCCAGCCGUCGGAACUGCCGGGCUAGAGUGGGCGAGAAGUGCGCGGAAUGCGUGGUGUAGCGGUGAAAUGCAUAGAUAUCACGCAGAACUCCGAUUGCGAAGGCAGCAUACCGGCGCUCAACUGACGCUCAUGCACGAAAGCGUGGGUAUCGAACAGGAUUAGAUACCCCAGUA